rnacentral:rRNA from 1 species
AGACGUGUGCUCUUCCGAUCUAUGAACGCUGGCGGCAUGCCUAACACAUGCAAGUUGAACGAAGAUUUUAGAGCUUGCUUUAAAAAGACUGAGUAGCGGACGGGUGAGUAAUGCUCAAGAAUCUGCCCCUAGGAAAAGGACACUAACCCGAAAGGGUCUCGAAUACUUUAUAAGCUGAGAAGUUAAAUGGAUUAAUCUCCGCCUAGGGAUGAGCUUGAGUCUGAUUAGCUUGUUGGUGGGGUAAAGGCUUACCAAGGCGACAAUCAGUAGUUGGUCUGAGAGGAUGACCAGCCACAUUGGGACUGAGACACGGCCCAGACUUCUACGGAAGGCAGCAGUGAGGAAUUUUCCGCAAUGGGCGAAAGCCUGACGGAGCAAUGCCGCGUGAAGGAUGACGGCCUGCGGGUUGUAAACUUCUUUUCUUAGAGAAGAAACUGACGGUAUCUAAGGAAUAAGCAUCGGCUAACCCCGUGCCAGCAGCCGCGGUAAUACGGGGGAUGCAAGCGUUAUCCGGAAUGAUUGGGCGUAAAGCGUCUGCAGGUGGUUUAAAAAGUCUAGUGUCAAAGCCCAAGGCUUAACCUUGGAUCGGCAAUGGAAACUUUUAGACUAGAGUGCGGUUGAGGUAGAUGGAAUUACCGGUGUAACGGUGAAAUGUGCAGAUAUCGGUAAGAACACCAACGGCGAAAGCAAUCUACUGGGCCAAAACUGACACUGAGAGACGAAAGCUAGGGGAGCGAAUAGGAUUAGAUACCCUAGUAGUCCUAGCUGUAAACGAUGGAAACUAAGUAUUGAGCGUAAGAGCAGUACUGUAGCUAACGCGUUAAGUUUCCCGCCUGGGAAGUAUGCUCGCAAGAGUGAAACUCAAAGAAAUUGACGGGGGCCCGCACAAGCGGUGGAGCAUGUGGUUUAAUUCGAUCAACGCGAAGAACCUUACCAGGGUUUGACAUGCCCAGAAUUUCUCAGAGAUGGGAAAGUGCCAGCAAUGGAGCUGGGGCACAGGUGGUGCAUGGCUGUCGUCAGCUCGUGCGUUGACGUGUACGGUUAAGUCCUGCAACGAGCGCAACCCUCGUCUUUAGUUAAUAUACUCUAAAGAGACUGCCAGUGUAAACUGGAGGAAGGUGAGGAUGACGUCAAGUCAGCAUGCCCCUUACACCCUGGGCGACACAGAUCGGAAGAGCGUCGUGUAGGGAAAGAGUGUAGAUCUCGGUGGUCGCCG